rnacentral:rRNA from 1 species
CAGUAGCCACGGGAAUACGUAGGUGGCAAGCGUUGUCCGGAUUUAUUGGGCGUAAAGCGCGCGCAGGUGGUUUAAUAAGUCUGAUGUGAAAGCCCACGGCUCAACCGUGGAGGGUCAUUGGAAACUGUUAAACUUGAGUGCAGGAGAGAAAAGUGGAAUUCCUAGUGUAGCGGUGAAAUGCGUAGAGAUUAGGAGGAACACCAGUGGCGAAGGCGGCCUUUUGGCCUGUAACUGACACUGAGGCGCGAAAGCGUGGGGAGCAAACAGGAUUAGAUACCCCUGUAGUUCCUGUCUCUUAUAC